AUCUCCCACCCUUGAAUAUCUUACCUUUGUUGCUUUGGCGGGCCGCUUCGGCCACCGGCUUUCAGCUGGUGAGUGCCCGCCAGAGGACCCUAAACUCUGAAUUUAGUAUUGUCUGAGAACUAUAUAAUAGUUAAAACUUUCAACAACGGAUCUCUUGGUUCUGGCAUCGAUGAAGAACGCAGCGAAACGCGAUAAGUAAUGUGAAUUGCAGAAUUCAGUGAAUCAUCGAAUCUUUGAACGCACAUUGCGCCCCUUGGUAUUCCGGGGGGCAUGCCUGUUCGAGCGUCAUAAUAACCCUCAAGCCUAGCUUGGUGUUGGGGCCUGCCUCUGGGCAGCCCUUAAAGCAAGUGGCGGUGCCGUCUGGCUCUAAGCGUAGUAAUAUACCCUCGCUAUAGUGUCCGGCGGUCAGCUUGCCAAAACCCCUAAACUUCUAUGUUUGACCUCGGAUCAGGUAGGGAUACCCGCUGAACUUAAGCAUAUCAAUAAGCGGAGGAAAAGAAACCAACAGGGAUUGCCUCAGUAACGGCGAGUGAAGCGGCAACAGCUCAAAUUUGAAAUCUGGCUCUUUUAGGGUCCGAGUUGUAAUUUGUAGAAGAUGCUUUGGGUGUGGCUCCGGUCUAAGUUCCUUGGAACAGGACGUCAUAGAGGGUGAGAAUCCCGUAUGUGACUGGUCGCCUUCGCCCGUGUAAAGCUCUUUCGACGAGUCAAGUUGUUUGGGAAUGCAGCUCAAAAUGGGUGGUAAAUCUCAUCUAAAGCUAAAUAUUGGCCAGAGACCGAUAGCGCAC
rnacentral:rRNA from 1 species